GAUGAACGCUGGCGGCGUGCCUAAUACAUGCAAGUCGAGCGAACGGACGAGGAGCUUGCUUUUCUGAUGUUAGCGGCGGACGGGUGAGUAACACGUGGAUAACCUACCUAUAAGACUGGGAUAACUUCGGGAAACCGGAGCUAAUACCGGAUAAUAUUUUGAACCGCAUGGUUCAAAAGUGAAAGACGGUCUUGCUGUCACUUAUAGAUGGAUCCGCGCUGCAUUAGCUAGUUGGUAAGGUAACGGCUUACCAAGGCAACGAUGCAUAGCCGACCUGAGAGGGUGAUCGGCCACACUGGAACUGAGACACGGUCCAGACUCCUACGGGAGGCAGCAGUAGGGAAUCUUCCGCAAUGGGCGAAAGCCUGACGGAGCAACGCCGCGUGAGUGAUGAAGGUCUUCGGAUCGUAAAACUCUGUUAUUAGGGAAGAACAAAUGUGUAAGUAACUGUGCACAUCUUGACGGUACCUAAUCAGAAAGCCACGGCUAACUACGUG
rnacentral:rRNA from 1 species